rnacentral:rRNA from 1 species
CCCUUAGAUGUCCUGGGCCGCACGCGCGCUACACUGAGUGUCUGAGAUACGAGUCUGCCUAGCCGGCGAGGUCUAGGUAAUCGCUGAAAGACACAUCAUCCUUGGGAUAGAUUAUUGCAGAUAUUAAUCUUGAACGAGGAAUUCCUAGUAAGCGCAAGUCAACAGCUUGCGUUGAUUACGCCCCUGCCCUUUGUGCACACCGCCCGUCGCUACUACUGAUUGGAUGUUUAAGCGAGGUUCUCGAACUGCUAGCGACUUAGCUUCGGUGAGGUCGCCGUGUGGGAAGUGAACCUAGCUUUGGUGUCUAGAGGAAGUAAAAGUCGUAUCA